UGUCCGGAAUCCCGAAGAGAUUUGGGAGUGCUCGCAAGAGAACCGGAACACAGGUGCUGCAUGGCUGUCGUCAGCUCGUGUCGUGAGAUGUUGGGUUAAGUCCCGCAACGAGCGCAACCCUUGUCAUUAGUUGCCAUCAUUUGGUUGGGCACUCUAAUGAGACUGCCGGUGACAAACCGGAGGAAGGUGGGGAUGACGUCAAGUCCUCAUGGCCCUUAUGGGUAGGGCUUCACACGUCAUACAAUGGUCGGUACAGAGGGUUGCCAACCCGCGAGGGGGAGCUAAUCCCACAAAGCCGAUCGUAGUCCGGAUCGCAGUCUGCAACUCGACUGCGUGAAGUCGGAAUCGCUAGUAAUCGUGGAUCAGCAUGUCACGGCGAAUACGUUCCCGGGUCUU
rnacentral:rRNA from 1 species